AUCUUCAGGGUAUACAAACCCUAACAAACUGGCAAUUAAAGGUGGAAGCAAUGGUGGCCUACUUGUUAGAGCUUGCAUUAAUCAGAGGCCCGAUCUAUUCGGAUGUGCACUUGCUCAUGUUGGUGUAAUGGACAUGCUCAGGUUUCACAAGUUCACAAUCGGUCAUGCGUGGACUUCUGACUAUGGUUGUUCAGACAAAGAAGCCAUAUAUGGCUUAUAUAUGGCCCUAGGACCCUACGUCAUCACAAGCCACAUGUUCCUUUAUACUUCUUGUAACUCAUGACAAACAUCUUAUUUGUGUGUCACUAACUACCCAAAAAUUCAAAUUUCUAUAUAGCCACCAACCAAAAGUUCCACUUGUCUUAAUAAAUUAGCUUGAGGUUUUGCCCUCUUUCCCCAGUUCCACUUGUGAACUUAACGUAAUCCCCUGAAGUAACCUUUAUUAGGGGUGGGGGUAGUCUAUCUGAAUACUGAAUAGAGCGUAUUUCA